rnacentral:rRNA from 1 species
GAGCCAGACUCCUACGGGAGGCAGCAGUCGGGAAUAUUGCGCAAUGGAGGAAACUCUGACGCAGUGACGCCGCGUAUAGGAAGAAGGUUUUCGGAUUGUAAACUAUUGCCGUUAGGGAAGAGAAAGGACAGUACCUAAGGAGGAAGCUCCGGCUAACUACGUGCCAGCAGCCGCGGUAAUACGUAGGGAGCGAGCGUUAUCCGGAAUUAUUGGGUGUAAAGGGUGCGUAGACGGGAAAGCAAGUUAGUUGUGAAAUCCCUCGGCUUAACUGAGGAACUGCAACUAAAACUACUUUUCUUGAGUGCAGGAGAGGUUGGCGGAAUUCCGAGUGUAGCGGUGAAAUGCGUAGAUAUUCGGAGGAACACCGGUGGCGAAGGCGGCCAACUGGGCUUUAACUGACGCUGAGGCUCGAAAGUGUGGGGAGCAAACAGGAUUAGAUACCCCGGUAGC